AUACGGAGGGUGCAAGCGUUACUCGGAAUCACUGGGCGUAAAGCGCAUGCAGGCGGUCUAAUAAGUUGGAAGUGAAAGCCUAUGGCUCAACCAUAGAACUGCUUCCAAAACUGUUAGACUAGAGUCUGGGAGGGGAAGAUGGAAUUAGUAGUGUAGGGGUAAAAUCCGUAGAGAUUACUAGGAAUACCAAAAGCGAAGGCGAUCUUCUGGAACAAUACUGACGCUGAGAUGCGAAAGCGUGGGGAGCAAACAGGAUUAGAUACCCUAGUAGUCC
rnacentral:rRNA from 1 species